CAGAACUGAGUUCCAGGAAUUGGUCCUUAUGGGCUAGGAGCUCCUAAGUGACAGCUUUCAAAAUCCAGGACACAGCAGAAACCAGCAGGUCAAAACAGAUGCUCUUGGCACCUCAGGGAGGAGAGAGUUGGGCAAGAUUAUCUCUGAUGAAAUGUCUAGAUGUUUGAUUUCUAAAGUUCACAAGUGACAUCUGAACAGUUGAAUGUGGUGGGGGGCAGGGAAUGACUGACUGAUUUGAGGAGUAUCCCAGUCUUCACCAGGAGUCAGGAAACCUCCACUGACUUGCUGGCUUAUCUUAGGAAAAACACAUGAGGCAGACAGGCUUCAGCCCUUAACCUGUGACAUCUCUGCGAAGGUCACAAAGAGGGCAACAGCCCACUCCCUCCCUCUGACCUUGGUUCUUCUUUCCUGCAUUGUGCCUUUAUGUCACCCAACCCCGCAUAGGCUGCUCCUCCUUCCCUGAUCUCUCUCCCUAAAUCAGUCCAGCACUAAGCUGUUGAGGGAGGUGGUAGAACACAGCUUCAGAUUCCUAACUUUGAAGUCAGGCUGCUUGGGUCCCAAAUCUUGACCCUUUUUCCUACUUGAUUCUUUGAAUGCCGUAUCCUAGGUAUGAAUCCUCAUAUCUGCUUUUCCACAUCUGAAAAAUGGGUUCAAGGCAGAGACACUCACUGCACUUAAUUUUUUACCACAUGCGUUUUGAUCUCCUUCUGGAACACUCCUAUUUCCUGGGGCUUCCAAGCUAUAAAACCUUUUCCAGUCUCUUCAUCCCUGGUGCUACAAAGUUCUUGGACCUUGCUGAUACCCCUGUGUAGCCCCUCUGACCACCGGAGGUGGAGUCAACCCCUCCUGGCUACUAUGAAAGGGACUUCUUCACUUUUUGCUCCAGUUCUUCUAAUAUGACAGAGUCAUUUCUUGGAGUUAUCAUCACUCUCUCUCCCUCCCCCUCUCUCUUAUUUGCUUGUUUGCUUGGAUUUUCUUCUUCUUUCCUCUUCUUUUCUUUCCCUGUAAGCCAAGUCGAAUGCACCUUCCUGAUCUCUGGGAUUUUGCCUUCAAACUGCUUCCAGCGUUUAAUUCCUCUGUGCUGCCACCUCCGGAACCAAGUCCAAAUGAAAGGUACAAUGUUGCCCAAGUGGACAAUGACAGCAAAAGAUACUGCACCUUUUCAUUUCACUCCCUGCAUAAGUAAAUGACUUGUUGGACCCUUAAAAAUACCAUUAAUAAAAGUAACAUCCCCAAG
rnacentral:lncRNA from 1 species